CCUCAGGCGCAGCAGUACACUGGAUAUCGAGCUGUUUAAAACUCUUGUAUAGGCACCAGUCAGACUAUCCCCUUUUUCAAUCCUUUCCGCCUUCCAUGCUUCUGGAAGGUCUCCUUCCCUCUGUCACGGCUAGGUGGUUGCACCAAACUUCCAAUGCACCUUCUUGUAACUGUGGGAAUCGCCUCCUGAGCAAGAAGAAUGUGCAGAUUGUUCUCUUGUUAGUAAGCAAACCACUCAGUCUAUUUAUCAAUGGAAGGAUCAACCCAUGCAGGCACCAUGCAACAAAUGGAUGC
rnacentral:lncRNA from 1 species